rnacentral:lncRNA from 1 species
GAACUUCCCGGCGCGACUCUCCCGUCCUUCCCGCCUUCCCCGACUCCCACCUCUGGCCUGGAGCCGAAGAACAGGCUGAGCUGUGUAGUGGGAUUGUGCCCUGUGGCCAGGCAGCUGGGAGGGGGCCACCCGAGGGACAGGAAAUAGCUGGGUUUGGGGAAGUCCGCAUGGCUAGCCAAGCCAAGCGAGCCCACGAUCGCCUGGGCAGCCCUCACUGAGGCCCUAUCAAUGCCCCGUUUGAGGCUCACACAGGGGUCCUUUGACGGGGCUGCGAUGGUUUGGACCCACUGACAGCGCCUGUUUGAGCUUCAUGCCUGGAAAGGAGCCGGCCCCAGGACAGAGGGGGCUGCUUCCAGGCCUGGGCAGGCUCUGAGCCCUCUUGGGAGGGCCCUGGCAGAAGCAGGAGGCCUCAGAGGCAGCAGGGAGCUUUUGGAUGUUGCGGACCCUCGGAUGGUGGUGCCCAGCUCUGAGCAGAGGAUGCGAAACGGGGGAUGGCAAAGGAUGCAUCGCGUUUUGGUGGGGCUAGAUUUGCGCUUCCUUGGGGGACAUAUAAUGGGAGGUGCUCAGGAAGCAGCUGGGUCUCUAGGUCUGGAGUUUAGGAGAGCGAGGAGGGAGGCAGGUUGAGAUGUGAGUGCUAUCUUUGGACAUGUGGGUGGGAUAUCAGGUUGGGCUGGUAUCACCCAGGUGUUAACCCAUCAGAAGGAUGUGCUGCUGCUCCGUGGCCUCCCCAGACAGGCCGGCAGAUGAAAGCACACGCCUCCUCACCCUGGAUUCCAGUUUGGCUGACCAUGCGUGGGGCCUGAGACCAAGAUAGCACAUGGGAGGUGUCAUGAACCACAUGUGACACCUCAGAUCAUGGGGUCUGUGGCCCGAAUGGGGCCUGGGCAGGAGGAGCAGCCCAGCUGCACUGCAGGCUCCUGGAUGGGGCGAUGAGCAUGGCCACUUUGCAGGUGAGGAAUCUGCCCUGUGACUGUGGGCCCCUCCACAUCUCUGCCUGACUUUUGGGAAGACCAGAGAUUCAUGUCCAAUCCGGUACUCUGGCAGUGUCUCCAAUUUGCAAUGAAACCGUUUAAGUGUCAAGAAAAGCAGUCAGGUUAAAGGAAGUCAGGGGCAGGACCCACCCUCGGGUUCUCCUUGGGUCUUUGGGUGGCAGCAGGGCCUCUGCGGAGGGUAUAAGCAGCAGCCACUGUGUGUCUCUGCAGCCACAGGCCUUGCCCGCUGCCCUCCCGGAUGGGCUCUCUGGGAACCAGUGCUCACAUUCCAGUCUGUCUCCCGGGUCCCAGGAAGAAGUCUCCCUAAUUAGCCACCAAGAGCACGCCGAUGGUCAGUGGGCAUAGCAGAGAGCUGCUGGCACGAGGGAGCCACAGUUCUAAAUAAAUAAACAACAUCCACCUGGGAAACAAUUUUGCUGCCAUCUCAGUGGCCCAGAUAGUCGAACAGAACACUCGCCUGCUGCUUCCUCUGCUCUAUGUGCUGGGAGGACAUGCGAGGCUGGAAAACAGCUGGGCCAAGGCCUGGAGAUGUGACCGGGUAUCCUGAGAAAAGGACUUGGGUGCAGGUAGCUUAUUUGGGAGGUGAUCCCAGGAAAUACAGUGAGGGGAAGUGAGGUGGGGACAGGAUAAAAGCCAAUACAAUGUGCAUGAAUAAGCUGGUCACCUCUGUGGGCAACCGCGGCUCACUCCUGCUGGGGACCUUCUGAGGAACGGCGAGGAGCGUGUCUCAGAACUGUUCAAUGGGGGAUGGGGACGUUGGGGUCUUCUGAUCCCUGCAGGUUGCGGGUUAUACCUGGGGAUGUUAAAUCCCCAGGCUGCCUGGCCCACUGCUUGCGUCCCUGGGAACUGCCUGCAGCUGUAGUGUGAUUGAUUACAGGGGCCAUUCCCCGUGGGAAGCUCUCGCAGUCGCUCCUGGGGUGAGGGCUGACCCUCUGGCCCCGAGAAGGCACGUAGCAGGGGUGGACCUUGUAUUUUUAACAACCAGGUGAGUAGCAUGGGUGGCCAGGUGUAGAUGACCUUUGAGUUUCCUUCAGAGUCUGAGCUUCAGGGUUUCACAUUUCCCUACAAAUAAAAUGGGUCACCAUGCAUUGAGUGCAAACUCUGAUAGGGAGCUAGUGAGAGGGCUGGAGUCUAUCUGGGAGGCUCUGAAAACAGGAGAGUGACUCAUUCAGUGCUAGAGAAGAGAGGGAGAUGGUGGGAGGGGAGGAGAGGGGGAGAAAGGGAAAGACUAGAGAAGAGAGGGAGAGGGAGGGAGGGAAGGAGAGGGAGAGAAAGAGAAAGACUGACAAUGGCCUGGAAGGUGGAAGGAAGCUGACAGUGAAGAGCUUUAAAUGCCAGCCAAGUCUGAAUUUCCAUCUAGAGGUGAUCCAGUGCUAACAAAGGCUUUCCCCCCGGCAAUGGUGACAGAGACUGUCACUGCUAACUAAAUGCCAUAUCCUGGCCCUGGGCAUCCAGGUAGAGUCAGGUAAUGUGUACUCCUUCUCUGAGGCAGUUAAGAGAGAUGCUUGCUGUCUCUCUCUUGUCCACAUGGCCUGAGACAAGGACUUGGAAAUGGUGGAGGCAGCUUUGGAGAGGGCCUAUGUGGGGGGCACCCACCUGGCACUGGACGGUGCUAGGAGAGAGAAGCAAACCCUGUAUUAAGCCAUUGUGAUUUGGGGGGCAUGUCUGCUAUUGCAACAUAGCCUAUCCUAGCCUGACUGAUAAAAGAAGGCGUUGUAAAAAUAAUAAGCAUUGGCCUGUCACGGUAGCUCACGCCUGUAAUCUCAGCGAUUUGGGAGGCCAAUGUGGGCAGAUCACUUGAGCUCAAGAGUUCGAGACUAACCUGGGCAACACGGUGAAACCCUGUCUCUACAAAAAAAAAAAAUUCACUGGGCAUGGUGGUGAACACCUAUGGCCCCAG